CAACACUCCGGUUUGUCUGUUGCUUUGCUUCGGCUUUACAGCCAUGGCCAUGGCCGCCUCCAUUUCUCUUCCACUUACCUCUCCAUCUCCACGCUCUCUCGCCUCAAUUCCUUCUCUCCGAUCGUCUUUUUGCUCCACUCUUCAACUGGAUUCCAUAGGAAAGAAUUCUGCUCGGAGAAGAAGCCCAAGGCUCUCUGUAUCCGUGGCUUCCGCUGGCCUUCAUGUUACGGAGAAAGCGUCGUCGUUGUCUUUUCUGGAACGGAGAGAGAGUGGCUUCCUUCACUUUGUUAAGUACCACGGUCUUGGCAAUGACUUCAUCUUGGUUGAUAAUAGGGACUCCUCGGAGCCUAGGAUCACUCCGGAGCAAGCUGUGAAGUUAUGUGAUCGGAACUUUGGGAUCGGUGCUGACGGAGUUAUCUUUGCUAUGCCAGGCGUUAAUGGUACUGAUUAUACCAUGAGGAUAUUCAAUUCCGACGGUAGUGAACCGGAGAUGUGUGGUAAUGGAGUAAGAUGCUUUGCCAGAUUUAUCGCGGAGCUUGAGAAUUUACAGGGAAGGCACAGUUUCACUGUUCAUACUGGAGCUGGUCUUAUUAUUCCAGAACUUCAGGAUGAUGGACAGGUAAAAGUAGACAUGGGUGAACCAAUUCUUAAAGCAUCAGAUGUGCCUACUCGAUUGGCACCAAAUGCAGAUGAAUCUGUUGUAAAGUCAGACAUAGAAGUAGAUGGAGUAACAUGGAGUGUGACCUGUGUCAGUAUGGGAAACCCCCAUUGUGUAACUUUUGGCAACAAAAUUGACCAGAAUCUGCAGGUGGAUGACAUAAAUUUAGCUGCAAUUGGUCCAAAAUUUGAGCAUCAUGAGAUGUUUCCAGCACGAACAAAUACAGAAUUUGUGCAAGUCUUCUCCAAAUCACACCUUAAAAUGCGUGUUUGGGAGCGUGGGGCAGGUGCGACACUUGCUUGUGGAACCGGAGCCUGUGCAGUCGUUGUUGCAGCAGUGCUUGAGGGUCGUGCUGGGCGGAUUUUCAUCUAGCUUUUGACGAGUUUGAGGGUGUUUCAAAGCAUAAGCAACACAACCAAAGAUUCGUAAAUGACUUACAGAUGGUUUCCUUCCAUGCCAUGCUUCAUAAGGAGUUCGAUUCAUAACUGCCUGUUGGUGAGAUGUUUAAUAGAUAAACAGAUGUUGCUACGGCUUCUGCCCAAAAUUGGUUUGGAAGUCUCCUUGCUUGUAACAUACUUCUUGUCAUCUCCACAAUAGUUCGAUUUUUUCGUUCAGCGAUUCCAUUUUGUUCUGGAGUGUAGGGAGCUGUUAAUUCCCUUUGGAUGCUCUCUUCUUCACAAAAUAGAUUGAACUCUUUAGAUAUGAACUCGCCACCUCUGUCUGUGCGAAGAACUUUAAUGUGACAGCCAGUUUGGUUCUCUACCAUAGCUUUAAAAAUCUGGAACUUCUGAAAAGUUUCUGACUUAUGUUGUAGGAAGUAAACCCAGCUCAUGCGACUAUAAUCAUCAAUGAAUAGUAAAAAAUAUAUACUCCCACCUAAGGACUUCGUUUGCAUUGACCCACAUAAAUCAACAUGAAUUAGUUCUAGAUAUUGUGAAGCUCUUUUAGCUUUUCCAGCAGGAAAGGACUUCCUAGUCUGCUUGCCAUAAAUGCAUCAUUCAAAUAAAUUUGUUGAGUCAAUUCUUGGUAAUCCGAAAACCAUACCUUUAUCCCUGAGUAUUUUCAGGUCGGUUCAUAUGAAGAUGUCCAUAUCUAAGAUGCCAUAAUGUUGAGUCAUCUUUCAUGCUAGCAGUAAGAGCAAUUUGAACUUUAUGGCCUGAUUUCUUAUGUGUAAUGACACAUGUGUUAUCAUCAAAUAGAACUGAAUGUCCUCUUGUCAUCAAUUGUCCAACACUCAAUAAAUUGUACCCUAAAUCAGGUACAAACAUUAUCUAAUUGUUUUAUCUUACCAUGACUAUUUUCGACUUUCACCGUACAUUUUCCUUCAACUUGCAUCUCUUCUGUAUUUCCAAGUUGCACCUUAAUCUUUUGCGUCUCAUCAAGCUCUUUGAAUAAGGAUUUGGUGUCUGUCAUAUAGUUCGAGCAUUCGCUAUCAACAAACCAUAAGUCACAUUUUUUCGGAUUAGUAUCCAUGCACGCCACAAACAGCUUUUCUUCUUCUUCAUUCUCUGUUGCAAAAUUCAUUCGUUGAUUUUUAUACCAACAAUCAGAUUUUGUGUGACCAUACCUUCUACAAUGGUAACAUUGUAUGACAUUCCUUUGUUCAUUGAAUUGUCUCUGUCCAUCACUUCUCCACCUGUUAUCACGACCACCAUGGAAGUUGCGAAAUCCUCCUCUUCCACGACUUCUACCUGCUAAAUGAAUAUUUUCUCUUUCGUUAUUGGUUGUCUCCUUCACUUGUAGUGCCUUUUCUUCGUUUCUUUCUGAUGCUCUAUUGAUUCUUGCCUCAUGAGCCUGAAGCGAGCCCAUCAGUUCAUCAAUGGAGAGUAUGGAUAGAUCCUUAGCUUCUUCUAUGGCGGCCACCACAUGGUCAAACUUUGGAGUCAAGCUUCUCAACACCUUUGCAACAAUUGUUUCCAUAGAAUUGCACCGUUGAUCUACCUGGAGGACCAUUACAGAUAGAGUGGAAUGAGCAAAACAACCACGUAUACAUGACUGGACCAGCGGAAGUAGCGUUCUAUGGAUCGGUUCCCCUACAAUAAAUAUCAACUUUUGCUGGUUCUUGAUGCCUAUCACCGCCACAAAGUAUGAGCACAAAGCAAUCGUCAAAUUUUGGCUCCUUCAGCUCAUCUCUUGCGAUGAUUGAUAGGUACCAUUCAACCAAAGUAUGCACACAUUAUCUGUUCAUUAUGAAUUCUAGCCGAUUGUUGGGUGGAGAGGGAAGAUUAAUGAAAUUAGGCUCUUCUAACUUGAUUGAAAGCUAUAUUGUUUGAUUAGUCUCUUUGAAUUUAACAUAUUCCUAGUCCACUAUUUGCUCGUGUUCGAAUGCAAAGAGUUCUAUGGUAGCCUUAAGAAUAUGUCAAUAACGUAACAAACUAUGUUCAUAUUGACUACUCAAUUAUUAUGUUGAUUAUGUUGAGCAUGGGAAGAUUCGAAACUGAUUUGGCCUCUUAGUUGAGGGGUAUGA